GGGGGCGAAAAGGGUUCGACGGGGAUCUAUGAAGUAAGCGUUGCAUGCCGAGUGUUCCGUCCCUCGUAAAACGGAUGGAGCUAAAAGUCAAGUGCAGAUUCUUACGAAUAUGCCAUGGCUGCCUAAGAAAUAACGGUAGCCCGUUCAUCCGGCCUUGCCUGCGGGGUCUGAUGGGCGUAAGUCAGCAGGAUAAGCCACGGCGGCGUGCCCGGGUC
rnacentral:tmRNA from 1 species